AUAACAGCCAGCUUGAUAGAAAUUUCUUGAUAGGAGAGGUUCCUACAAAUCUUUGUAAGAGAUGAGUUUGGAUAAUGAAGUUGGAGUGUUGGAGCAAGAAACAAAGAUGUUGGAACAAGUUUUCGGGAUGAAACUCACACAAGAGACCAAGAAACUAAGGCAGGCUUCUACUUGUCUUGUAUAUUCAUAUUCUAAGUAGUAAAAACAGCACUUAUUAGAUGGUUUAAAUACAUUAUUAGAUAUUAACAUAGUUUAGGAAACUGGAUGGUAGAUUUGACUGAUUAGUAUUUAUUGCAAUGUUU